rnacentral:rRNA from 1 species
AGCUUGCUCUUCUUGGAUGAGUUGCGAACGGGUGAGUAACGCGUAGGUAACCUGCCUUGUAGCGGGGGAUAACUAUUGGAAACGAUAGCUAAUACCGCAUAACAAUGGAUGACACAUGUCAUUUAUUUGAAAGGGGCAAUUGCUCCACUACAAGAUGGACCUGCGUUGUAUUAGCUAGUAGGUGAGGUAAUGGCUCACCUAGGCGACGAUACAUAGCCGACCUGAGAGGGUGAUCGGCCACACUGGGACUGAGACACGGCCCAGACUCCUACGGGAGGCAGCAGUAGGGAAUCUUCGGCAAUGGGGGCAACCCUGACCGAGCAACGCCGCGUGAGUGAAGAAGGUUUUCGGAUCGUAAAGCUCUGUUGUAAGUCAAGAACGGGUGUGAGAGUGGAAAGUUCACACUGUGACGGUAGCUUACCAGAAAGGGACGGCUAACUACGUGCCAGCAGCCGCGGUAAUACGUAGGUCCCGAGCGUUGUCCGGAUUUAUUGGGCGUAAAGCGAGCGCAGGCGGUUUGAUAAGUCUGAAGUUAAAGGCUGUGG